rnacentral:rRNA from 1 species
AUUGAACGCUGGCGGCAGGCCUAACACAUGCAAGUCGAAUGGUAACAGGAAGAAGCUUGCUUCUUUGCUGACGAGUGGCGGACGGGUGAGUAAUGUCUGGGAAACUGCCUGAUGGAGGGGGAUAACUACUGGAAACGGUAGCUAAUACCGCAUAACGUCGCAAGACCAAAGAGGGGGACCUUCGGGCCUCUUGCCAUCGGAUGUGCCCAGAUGGGAUUAGCUAGUAGGUGGGGUAACGGCUCACCUAGGCGACGAUCCCUAGCUGGUCUGAGAGGAUGACCAGCCACACUGGAACUGAGACACGGUCCAGACUCCUACGGGAGGCAGCAGUGGGGAAUAUUGCACAAUGGGCGCAAGCCUGAUGCAGCCAUGCCGCGUGUAUGAAGAAGGCCUUCGGGUUGUAAAGUACUUUCAGCGGGGAGGAAGGGAGUAAAGUUAAUACCUUUGCUCAUUGACGUUACCCGCAGAAGAAGCACCGGCUAACUCCGU